GUAGCAGAUAAGGCGCAGAAGUGGUUGUCUGGGAUUGAGACUAUGCUGCUAAAAUCAGCGGCUAAUUCGGCCUGUGCAACUGCUGGACAUUUUUUCCCUCCUUCUUCCCCUCUCUUUCCCACAGAGUUAUAGUUGCCAUAGCAACCGUGGCAAAUCUUCCUUUUCUCAAACAGAUGUCCCAUUUAGUUGGAAAUUAGAAUGUGUAAAAACCCAGGAGACUCAAAUUAUUUCCAAGUUCUCCAGGAGGAGGGAGACGGAGAAGAAAAGAGGAGUGCGGAAAAGAGAGGAGUGGUGAUGGAAGGAGAGAAAAAGAGGAAAAGGGAGGGAGAGGGUAACAUAUCCUCCUCCUCAGGAACUGUGAAAGAGUGUUGAUUAGCCAUCGCUGUGGGGCAGCUAACUCUGACGCCCCACCACACGCCACAGCCAGCACUGAAGAGACAGCAGACGGAGAAAGACACGAGAGAGAGAGAGAACGAGAUGAAUGCAGGAUGGGUAAACAAAUUCAGCGUUUACCAGAAUGUAAAGAAAGUCCCCAGAGCUGCGCACACUCACAUACGUGUGAAGACACAAGCGCAGUGUGAGCGAGGAGUUUCGCCUUGGAGACCAAUUUACAGAUUCCCCAAACGGCCAGACUACUUCAAAGGCAGAAUUACAGAGAGAAUCACCAUUUAACAAUGGAGUCAUUCUCUAAAAAAACACAAAGCAAAAAAAAAAAAAAGUCUUUGGAAGCAAUCAAUCACACAAAUACAAAAUGCCAGCAAGAAGGAAGAUGGAGAAGACGAGCCCAAAGCUUUUGUGAUAAGAUUUUUGUGAAAACGGGGGAAAAAAAAGCAUGCCGAUUUCAGCCCAAAACGCCAAAUCCGGACAUUUUUGCUGCUUGUUGUUAUUAGUUUCUAUCUUCUUGGGCCCUUUGUCUUUGAUUUCAAAAGCACUUCAAGGCAGCAAUAGCUUAAAUUUCACUGUGAAUCUGACAGACAGCUUCUGUUCUUUUCACUUCAAAAAGAAAGCAAUUAAAGUGGAUGAAUGCAGGCCCGUGCACGUUCACACAGACACAUACAGUACGUGCAGCGAGAAUAGCAUGUUCAACAACUCACACAUACACAAGCACUUCUCAUACAAAACGUCUCACUCUUAAACAUGUCUUGUGAGCUGCACAUCGACAUAUUUGAGUGUAUGUGUGGACCAUUAGAAUCAGGGCUUUAGAGGUGCAUAAGCCCAAAGGAAGUGUCCAGAUUUGAGUGCUAUUGUCAUUUCUGUUCUAGUGGGUGGUCUUUGGACUUUGAUGGAGCAAAUCCUCCAAACUCCAAAAUUCAGAGCUCAUCCAAGAGGAUUACGGCGCUGUCUUGCGCUGUGUGUGUGAUGCAGACAUUCUGUGAGACAUUUGCCACCUACGUGAUACAGUAUGUGCACUUUCUUGUAAGUUGGCUGACUGAGAAAAUAUAAGGCAACGGCAUAGCUGUAGUUUUCACACGUAUGCCACAAAUUAAAUUCAAUUAUGGCAUAUUGUGAAAUAUACAUGGAAAAUAUCAGAU